UAUUGCACAAUGGGGGAAACCCUGAUGCAGCGACGCCGCGUGAGUGAAGAAGCGUUUCGGCGNGUAAAGCUCUGUCAGCGGGGAANNAANNNGNUUCGCGAGAGCCGCGGACGGUACCCGACCAAGAAGCNNNGNCNACCUACGUGCCAGCAGCCGCGGUAAUACGUAGGUGGCAAGCGUUAUCCGGAUUCACUGGGUGUAGAGGGAGCGGAGACGGCGAGACAAGUCUGGAGUGAAAGGCCGGGGCCCAACCCCGGGACUGCUCUGGAAACUGCCUGGCUGGAGUACAGGAGAGGUAAGUGGAAUUCCUAGUGUAGCGGUGAAAUGCGUAGAUAUUAGGAGGAACACCAGUGGCGAAGGCGGCUUACUGGACUGUAACUGACGUUGAGGCUCGAAAGCGUGGGGAGCAAACAGG
rnacentral:rRNA from 1 species